AACGUAGGAGACAAACGUUAUCCGGAGUUACUGGGCGUAAAGGGCUCGUAGGUGGCCAACUAAGUCGGACGUGAAAUCCCUCAGCUUAACUGGGGAACUGCGUCCGAUACUGGAUGGCUUGAGUUUGGGAGAGGGAUGCGGAAUUCCAGGUGUAGCGGUGAAAUGCGUAGAGAUGUGGAGGAACACCAAUGGCGAAGGCAGCCUUCUGGGCCAACACUGACGCUCAUGCACGAAAGCGUGGGGAGCAAACAGG
rnacentral:rRNA from 1 species